rnacentral:rRNA from 1 species
AUUGAACGCUGGCGGCAGGCUUAACACAUGCAAGUCGAGCGGAGCGAGGGUGCUUGCACCUUAGCUUAGCGGCGGACGGGUGAGUAAUGCUUAGGAAUCUGCCUAUUAGUGGGGGACAACAUUCCGAAAGGGAUGCUAAUACCGCAUACGCCCUACGGGGGAAAGCAGGGGAUCUUCGGACCUUGCGCUAAUAGAUGAGCCUAAGUCGGAUUAGCUAGUUGGGGGGGUAAAGGCCUACCAAGGCGACGAUCUGUAGCGGGUCUGAGAGGAUGAUCCGCCACACUGGGACUGAGACACGGCCCAGACUCCUACGGGAGGCAGCAGUGGGGAAUAUUGGACAAUGGGCGGAAGCCUGAUCCAGCCAUGCCGCGUGUGUGAAGAAGGCCUUUUGGUUGUAAAGCACUUUAAGCGAGGAGGAGGCUACUAGUAUUAAUACUACUGGAUAGUGGACGUUACUCGCAGAAUAAGCACCGGCUAACUCCGUGCCAGCAGCCGCCGUAA